GGGAAGCAGCGAAGCGGGGAACGCAAAGGGCAAGGGCGGGGAGGAGGGAGAGGAGGCCGGGGGGAGGGGCAGGGGAAAGAAAAAGCGGGGGGGGGGCGGCCUUUCGUGGUGACGCACCGGAUUUGGGUCGUCUUGCCUUCGGUUAAGUGACCUAAAAUUUUGCAUGAUUUUUUCGAACGUAUUUAAAUGAUUUUACGUACGUUUGCGAUAUCGAAUACUAGGUGUGGUCAUCCUCAUGAUUCGCGCCUAUAAUUUUUCAUCAAAAUGACCUCAAAUCAGGUAAGAGUACCCGCUGAACUUA
rnacentral:misc_RNA from 1 species